AAUGCCAUUUGAACAAGGAUUGCCCAUCAUGCGACCUUGGCGUGCCGUUGUGUGCGAAUGGAGUGUGCACUUGUUUUGAGAUAAAGACCGAUAAUGAUGUGGUGCAGCAAAAGCAAAGUGGAAGUUGUAAAGUUGACAAGGACUGUGCCAAGAUCUGCAAUCCAAAAUGUCGUUCAUACAAAUGUAUCAACAAUCUUUGCUUAUGUAGUGACUGUCUAUAAAUCUUGUCCACGCCUAAAACUUGUGCAUGUUUUUAUCUAUCAAUAAAUUAUGAAUAAUUAAGC
rnacentral:lncRNA from 1 species